AGAGAACACAGGACGCGCUGAGCCACGCAAGCCUGGGUGGAGGCACCUCAGGGGCGCCCCCGACAUGCUCUGGGAGACGCCUGGCGCUGCUCCUUGAGGUCCGGGGAUGCGCACUUGGAACCGAGGAGCCAGGUCCACUGAUGGGGCCCGAGGCUGCCCGCGGGUCCGGAGCCUGUUUCUGACCCAGAGGAGCGGGAAGCGGUGGGUGUGGGUGGAAUGUGCUGAGUGCGCCCAGCUCCGUCAGGGUUUACAGACGCUGAAGUGAGAAGCAGCUGGCACCUCUUCCUCCCUGGACCUCCAGUAGAAGGCAGGAAACCACAGGGCUGGGUGCUGGGGCCUGAUCUGGGGCCAAGUCCUUGCUCUGCCCCCGCACACCAAGUGACCUCGGAAGUGUGACCGCUGAGCCUCCUGUCACACCCGCUCUGUGGGUGAGAGGUGUACACCCUGCAGGCUGAUGCUGGGGUUACCGCCCCUGAAGUCCCUGGCCCAGAGCAGAGGCCCCAGAAGAGCGGACGUCUCACCACCCAUCUGUCCCAACAGCCACAUCCAGGAGCAUCGGGGACAUCCUAUGAAGGCUCAGAGGAAGGGGCCCGCACCCAGGACCAUGGCCUGUGAGGAGGGAGCGCUCCAGCUCCAGUCCUGGGGCCCCACCCAGCCACGGGGCCUGACACCUCUGCCAUGGGCGCUGGAACACGUCCAAGGCCUGGGAAGAGACUCUGAACCCACCAGGCUGGAUGACUCCCACCUGCAGUGCCGGCCCCGCUGAGGGCAGCUCCUAAGGGCAAGGGUCUGCACUGGACUGCGUGGCUGGAAUCAAAGCUGGCUAUGCUGAGCAGAGAGCAGGACCAGACCUUAAGACCCUAAAGAAAAACCUAAGAGGGAACAAACUGCCACAGCCCGCCUGAGGUGAAGAGUGAAACCGCAUGUGAGGAGAAAGAGAAAAAUUCACAACUUGCUUUAACUGCAGUGGUCUGGAACCAAACCCACAGUAUCUCGGAGGUCUGCCUCUUAACAGGAACCAACUCGCUAAGUGUGUUGGCUAAACGCGCACCUUAACCUGAGACAAGACACGGCCUUCCCCUCCCAGACUCGUGGCUGCAGAGACUCCCUCGCUGAGCCCGCAGUCACUCUUGGGACCCUUCUCUUCACCUGACUCAGGAAGUCAGCUGACGACACCCUACCGGUUUCCAGUUUGGUGGCAGCUGCUCUGUUACCCCUUCCCCCAGGAGGACCCGGCGCGUUCCUCUCCCCGCCUUGGCUUUGCCCCUCAGCCUGGCUCCUCCCGGAGGACGCGUCUCCUGUAACUCCUAGCCUGUACUCGGGCUGUUGGGCUCUCCGUUCUCUGUGGAAUGUCCAGCUCUCCUCUCCUGACUCCCCGGGGCCUCCAGCAGCUGCACCUCCAGUUGCUGCUCCGGAACUACCUGUGGGGGAGCCCCCAGCACACUUCCAGCAGCAGCCCUAGAGAGGACAGCACAGCCUCCGGGAGAGCAGCAUGGGAGGUGAUUGAAGUGGUGAGGUAGAAGAACACAGAGUCCACUCCGCCCACAAAUACAUCAAAACUACACUUAAAACUGGAACAGUUUUCACAGAACACCAGCUGAGAGCAGCUGGGUAUCAAAUACCUGGCGCUGAAAGAAAGAUCCCCACUUAACCUGAGCAAAAUUCCCAGGAGCUAAAGCCAUUUCAAACAGAAACCUCACAGAUAACAUCUUCCAGGGCUAGGAAUGGCCAGCUGGUGCCUGUUGAUGAGCGGUGCCGCCAGCACCGACGCCCCUUCUGAAGCGCCUGGUCAAGCUACUUCCCACCUCCAAACCUCGUGAACAAGGACGAGGCCCCAUGUUGUCUCUACGUCUUCACUGCACUUGAAUUCCCCGUCACCUGCAUCCCUCAGGGGACAGGGGGGUGGCAGGAGGUACUGGAACUGACGGCACUGGCCUGGCCUGGCCCCCACUGCUCUGUCCUCUAGAGCUGCAGCGACACACCGCCGUGACAUCCAGCCCAAGAACCCACAGCAUCCAACCGCAGGGGACACGUCUGUGGCUUCCCACUUCCUCUUUCAUACUGAUGCCCAGAACUGACCUUUCUUAGAGGAACCAGGUUAACAGUGUGUGUACACGGCAGAAACACCUGCCUCGGGACACAGCACAGCUUUGUUUAUGAAGAAGAAAUGACUUCUCUGCAGGCCUGUACUCCAGGUGUUUGAGAGCAAAGAACCCAAGACCCCAGUGUGAUCAGAGCAUCCAGUCCAUGUGGUCAGUGCUCUCUUUAGUGUGACCUUUGGAAAAAGAGAUCAUGGUCCCCUCUGAGGUUAAUCCAUCAGCCAGCACAAUCCUGCUUAUGCCUCGGACUUUGGUUCUGACAAAAGUUCUAACCAAAAAUCACGUGGUCUGGAGUGGGUCAGAACUCAGCCUCCUUACUUUGUCAUUUAGAAACAUGAGCUGCUACAUACAAUACAUGUUGAAUUAAACAUGUCUUCACCUAUUCAGUUCUUCCUCUACCAUCGUCACAGUUUUCUUGUGUGAAGCCAAGAAGAGCAGAGAGCAUAAGAGAGAAGCUAUUUGCUAACAGGGACUCCCCUGGUAGAAGUCAUAAAAUACAGAUGAUUUCUGCCUGUUACCCUGAAUGACCUGCAAGUCAUUUUGUUAAGACAGGAUCAAUGUUUUAGGAGCACUCGGCCAGGUUUGGGUGGAGUGAUAUCUGUUGUCUCCAGCAAAGCCCAUGGAUGAUUCACAGAUGUUAUCAAGUUGACAGAAUUCAGAAAGUAUAAAAACAGCUGGGAGCCCCUAAAGCUUCACCGCAGGAUGAUGAGACAGCAGCUGGCUCUUCUGAGGAAAAGCAGACAGUGAUGCCCACACACUUCCCUCACGUUCACGGCAGAUGUGAUUUUGAUGAGCUGGGGUACAACAGGACCAUGUCAACAAGCGUUCCACUGAGCUGGGAUCGAUGGCCUGCAGUCUGUGAGAGCCCUGUGACAGCCCCUGCCUGCGCAAACCCCUCCCUCGGAGUGUUGGCUGGACCCAGGACUCGCCUGACCACAGAGCAUAGCACCCCUCUGGAGUGAGAGGACGUCACUCCAGAGAUGAGACCGCAGCAAGGCUGCGCUUCCAUCCUGGGGGCCCCUCUCUCACUUGCUGGCUCUGAUGGGAGCUGGCGGCCGGGUACGCACAGCCCCAUGGAGGGGCCCACACAGUGAGGGAUGAUGUCCCGGCCCUGAGGCUGGGAGCCUGGGAGGGGACCCCCGCUCCAGUCAGUCGUGAGAUGCCUGCAGGCCUUGCCGACUCCUGGAUUACAGCCUUGAGGGGCAUGCUGGUGAGCCUGUGCAGACACAUGGACACUGUGAGGGGGCCAGCGUCUGUUUUGGGGUCACUUGCUAUCCAGCAAUAGAUGCAGGGGAUGGUCAUGAUGGAAUAUCACCAAAUCUCAUCUGAAGUAAAAAUAUGCUUGAUUUCAUGAAGCUCCGGUCGGUGGUGUAAUCAAGGGUCUAGGGGUCCUGGCCACAGAGGAAGGAGGCGGUCACUUUGCUCUCUCCUCUUCUGACUACUCAGCCUCUCAAAUGAAUCCUUUUGAAUGACUUUUAAGUUUAUUUUUAAAAUAAAAAAAUAGAUAAAAACCUGCUGUAUAACACAGGGAACUCUACUCAAUACUCAGCAAUGACCCAUAUGGGAAAAGAAUCUAAAAAAUAGAGUGGAUAUAUGUAUAUGUAUAACUGACUCACUUUGCUGUACACCUGAAACCAAGAGAACACUGUUGAACAACCACACUCCAAUAAAAUUAAAAAAAAAAAACAUAGAAUAAAAGGGCCAGCAGAAGAGGUGGGAUGAUUUGCUUAUUUUGGUGAUAGGUAUAGAUGCAUAAGUGCUAGUACUGGUUUGUUUUUUUCUCUGUAUCUUGCUAAGUAAUAAAAAAAAUGUUGGCCUGAUUAAUCAUAAAAAAAUACAUGUGUAUAGUUUAAAAGACUCAGGCAUUAAGGGAAAAAUACUGUGAAAAAAAUUCACCCCAUCUUGUGCCUCAGUCCCUCACCUUAGAGGCAAUUUCUUAAUAAUUACCACUUUCAUGAUCAUUCUCUCAAAAGUUCUCCCCCACACCAGAAAAAAAAAUAUGUCAGCAUAUGUUACUAUUGAAAUAUCUAUCUCCUUGUUUUUAAUAUAAAGUGCAGCAUAAAAUACCCUAUUUUGCAUUUUGCAAAAUAAAUCUUGGGAUGGCCUGAUAACAGGA